AUAAUGGGUCAGCGACUUAUAUUCUGUAGCAAGGUUAACCGAAUAGGGGAGCCGAAGGGAAACCGAGUCUUAACUGGGCGUUAAGUUGCAGGGUAUAGACCCGAAACCCGGUGAUCUAGCCAUGGGCAGGUUGAAGGUUGGGUAACACUAACUGGAGGACCGAACCGACUAAUGUUGAAAAAUUAGCGGAUGACUUGUGGCUGGGGGUGAAAGGCCAAUCAAACCGGGAGAUAGCUGGUUCUCCCCGAAAGCUAUUUAGGUAGCGCCUCGUGAAUUCAUCUCCGGGGGUAGAGCACUGUUUCGGCAAGGGGGUCAUCCCGACUUACCAACCCGAUGCAAACUGCGAAUACCGGAGAAUGUUAUCACGGGAGACACACGGCGGGUGCUAACGUCCGUCGUGAAGAGGGAAACAACCCAGACCGCCAGCUAAGGUCCCAAAGUCAUGGUUAAGUGGGAAACGAUGUGGGAAGGCCCAGACAGCCAGGAUGUUGGCUUAGAAGCAGCCAUCAUUUAAAGAAAGCGUAAUAGCUCACUGGUCGAGUCGGCCUGCGCGGAAGAUGUAACGGGGCUAAACCAUGCACCGAAGCUGCGGCAGCGACGCUUAUGCGUUGUUGGGUAGGGGAGCGUUCUGUAAGCCUGUGAAGGUGUACUGUGAGGU
rnacentral:rRNA from 1 species